GAAAUGAAUUAGAGCAAUGGAUUGCAUUAAGUUUUGGUAGGAAAGCUGCAGGGAUCAGCCAUACACUUGGAAAACAUUGGCUCAACGAACAUAGAUAACUAUAUAUGUGCAAGAUUCUACAAGUCACAUAGAAGGGGGAAAAAUCCAAUACAAUGUACCAAAUUAAACAGUGUCAGAUUCUAAACCACAUUAAUACACUUAAGAUAACUACAAUCAGAAGACCCCACAAUUCAAUAAAAUCGAAAAAACAAGUGGCCAUGGUCAUCAUCCGUUAAAACAGUGUUGUUGUUGUGCCUUUUUCUUUCACUUUCCACAAUUUGUUGAAGCAAAAGAAAGCGAUUUCCAUUGUCCAAGAAAUACACCUCCACCUUCAACCACUACCAUUUUUUUCGUUUUGGAAAAAACAUAAUUUUACCAUGCAGCCAAUCAAGCAUCACUCACCUUAUAUUACACCACCAGAUUCCCCUUUUAACCUUCUUCCUUAGUUCUUACCCACUCAUUUGCACCAACUCACAGCAGUCAAUAACCAUGCACUUCCCCGCUACAACCGCCGUGACUAGCAGUCUAGCACCCUCUGUAUCCUCGGCCGCCUAGUCCACCGCCCAUAUGUCUUUGUCAAGAGAGAAGGCAUCGAUAUUUUACAUUUCCACUUUAGUCCUAUUUAUUCCUUUUAGGUGAUUUCAGUGAAACAAGAAAACUCCCACCUGCAACAAGCUAGCUUUUUCUGCUUCAACUAUCAGAGAAGAGUAAAGAAUGCCGAUACAGAUCGUAAGGUGCCCAUAGUGAAUCCAAGGGACACGGUCUUUUGGAGUCAAUUCUAAGCCAAGGCUUACCCUUCCCGCUCCAAUGGAGCAAGCUAGCAGGACCAGGAUGUAGAUCUCUACACAACCCAUGAAGAUUAUCGCCACCAAGCCCAUGUUGGUUCCAUCUAUGCUCGACCCCUUCCACAUUCCCAGCGAAGACGAGCAAGAAUGGGGGUAAAGAACCCAAUUCAUAGAUUCUAUACUUCUUUUGUAUCCUCAUCCAGUAUUCCAGUUUCUGUGUGUACUUCCCAUCUCGCCAUUUCACCAGGUCUAUCACCAUCACCCCUGUGUUAAAAUAACAAGGCUUACUCCCUCUAAAGGACGCCGCACACGCCGGGUUCGACCAAAAUCUUGAAUUGAAGUAGUUCGUGAAGUUAGCGUGGCAGUACUCGGGUGCACCCAAAACGUGGGCUCCCAAAUUGAUGUUCCAUAAUUUAGCCACGUCAUCAACCACAAUUAGAUCAGAAUCGAAGUAUAUGAUCCUACUUACACUAGCGGGUAACAGAUCGGCGAGGUAAAAUCUCGCGUAAUUCAACGGUUGAUCCAGAGCUCGGCGAAUGGAGGAAGAGAUCUUCCCUUUGACUAAAUCGGCGUCGAAGUGAUAGAGGUGGAAGUUGAGGUACGGAAACGUCACCGUAACGGUGCGGCGGAGCUCGGCGCGGCGGAGCUCGGCGCGGCGGUGCGUGGCGAUGAAGUGGAAGACGAUGUUCUCGGGGCAAGUGGCAUGCUGCAAUACGGAUAAGAUGCCGGCAACGGAGCCACGGAGGUAUGUGGAGUCGAGAGUCAUUGCAAUGUGGAUAAUCGAAGAAGGGUCAUGGCGGGACUGUCCAUUGAUGAUGGAUGACCAGGUGACUUGGGGACAUUCCCGGCCGUUUCGAAACGCCGGCGCUUCUCGAAACAACGGAAGCCGCUCAAAAUUCAGCGCAUUUGAUAAACUGUGUACGGAAAUGGUGGCGGCGGUGGCUAGAAGUAGAAUGAUAAAGAAGCGAGGCCUGAAUUUUGGAGGCAUGGGAGGGAGGGGUGUGAGUGUGUUGAUGAUUACAGCCUACGUAGGAGGGGAAGAUAAAAAGAAGCUGAAUAUUAAACCGGAAAUAAUUUUUAGAUUUUUUUUUUAUAUAUUUUUUAUUUUUUGAGAUAGAGAAAGAAUAUGUGGAAGCCAGGCUGGCAGCAAAGACGUGUCUUUUCGUUUGUGAUGAUCGAGGGAUGGUGUGGGAAUGUGCUCGUGUGGCGGUGAUUACACCUGACGAUUUGGUGUUGCCGUACUUCUUUUGCUGCACCACAGCGAAACCCAGUCUACAAGUUGAUGAAAUUGACUAAUUUGGAUUGGAAGGUUUAGAAAUUCUAUAUUUCAGGUUUGGUUUAAAAACAAAUUAUUCAAUGAAUAAUAUCUAAAAUUAUUUUAAAAAUCUAAUAAAACAUUUUGUUAAAUUGUUUUUAUGUAUUUUAAAAUAUGUUGCUAUAAUAAUAUUAAAUAUUACUUUUCAUUUUUAAUUUCUCAAAAGCUUAGUGCCUAUUUUGGCCACUAAUUAGAAUUUUGUUAAUUGUUGAUCUUAAAAAUUAAAUUUUGAGUAAUGAAUUUGACUAAAUAGUGCGUCUCU
rnacentral:misc_RNA from 1 species